UACGAAGGGGGCUAGCGUUGCUCGGAAUUACUGGGCGUAAAGGGCGCGUAGGCGGUCAUUUUAGUCAGGCGUGAAAUUCCCGGGCUUAACCUGGGGACUGCGCUUGAUACUGGGUGACUUGAGGGUGGAAGAGGGUCGUGGAAUUCCCAGUGUAGAGGUGAAAUGCGUAGAUAUCUGGAGGAACACCGGUGGCGAAGGCGACAUCCUGGACCGGCAUUGACGCUGAGGCGCGAAAGCCAGGGGAGCAAACGGG
rnacentral:rRNA from 1 species